ACAUAAGCAUCCUGGUACUAAGUAUCUCCUUUCCAGCAUGAGCUCUGGUUUGCAGAAAGCUGCUCAGGGUUUCACCUGUGCCACUGCUUCACAAAUGUGGUGGGUCAGUUUGUCCUUCAAGACUUUGCUUCAGUCCCUGGCCCUCCAGUGCCAGCUCUUGAUUAUAGUUUAUAGCAAGUUCCCAAAAUGUCACUUGAAGGAGUGUCAUGAAAAAGGUUUGUAAAUCUGUUGAGUGGUUUAUAACAAGAUUGGAAGUUUUCCUUUUUUUCGCUCAUGUUUUCUCAUUUCCUUUUUAAUCACCAAGAAUCCCUAAACAAUUGCAGAUAUUCGGCAUUGUUCUCAGAGUCAUUUUCUGUCCUUAUUAAAAUUUUGUCACAUAACUGAAGAGUUUAAUCCCCCAUAAUCAUAUAUCAUAUAGCUAGCUACUCCAUCUCCUCAACCUUUAGAGUGUUCUGUAAUUGGAUUCACCUGCAAUUGUUGUUCUCCCCUUGUGCAGCCUCAGCAGCCUGCAAGGAAGGGGAAUGGCCAGUCGAUGAAAAUACAGCAUUUGAAAAGGUGUGUGUAUGCUGCUAAUUGAAACCCGUCUCCUGGGCUCCAGCUGGUGGUGUUACAAACGGGAGGAGGGCUCCUUCAGCAUGUUUGAAUUUGAAAAGGUUUAACCUACCUCAGACACCAGAUGAAUUCUUUUAUAGCAUACGAUCCAUGGGAACACUUAAAAAUGAAUUUCCACAUGCCAGAACGCUCUUGCAGCAUAUUGAAAGGGACCGACUAAGGCACUGAUUAAAGAAAUCUGGAAAGCCCCGGGCACUCCCGCCACCCCAGCCUCGGCGCCGUGCAGAGGAGAGCUGCUUGGCUGCUCAAGCAAAUGGGUAUGACACUCUUGCGUUUUAUCAAACAAGAAGACGUACUAACCGUCCUUUAAAACGUAGCUAAUGAACCUUGGUGAUUUAAGCUUGGCUGUAUCUCUCUGCCCCCAUCAGCUGAAGGAAGGGUAGGCAGCUGCUUUCUGAAGUGGGCAGGGCUGGGGAGAUGCUCUGGGUGAGAUGAGGGACCGCUCUUCUCCCAACCGACUGAGCUUUGCUUGGCUUCUGGGGAUACGUCCCAGGGCUCCUUUGAGAACAACAUUUGGCGAUUCCUAUGUGCUUACAAGUAUACUUGCAUACUUACAAGCUGGUGACUAAAGGCUCCUUUAAAUAGCGAUGCAUGGAAACAAUUAAUUAGUUUUAUAUGUGUGUGUGUAGAUAUAUUUUACAGCUGUGAUAUAUAGGUUGUCUGUUUCUCUCGGGUAUAUAGCAUAAGAGCUAUUUCAAGCCUGAUGCAGAGACAGUUUUCAUGGUAAAUCAUAGUACUUGGUGUUAGGGGUCUAUAUAUAUUGCUAAACUGAUGUCCUCUGGAUCUCUGUCUAAACACUAGCAGCACAAAACAUCAAAGUUAUACCCCAAACAAAUGUCUGGUUACCAUUUCUAAAAACACAUUGAAACAUUCUGACUUCAGUUCCACAAAUAUUUCCCUCCUGAUCUGUACAUGAAGUGUUCUAGUGACUGUCUGGGAGUAAAACUCCAAAUAUUUAUACAUAGCCUAAAGCCCAGUAGUCACAUUUGGUGAAAUCACCUGCUUAACUGUGUGCUGGUUGUGGUUGCCAAUGUAAUUGGGAGAGAUGGUAAAAUACUUAAGUGCUUCCAGUGAGCUUUGCGUCAAAGUUAUAUUAUAAUAAAUUUGUCUUCAACAUUG